UGGAGGCGUUGUCCCCCUUGUCCGGAGGGGAUGGCAGGGGUGGUGUGUCGCCUCCGUCCGCGCCGCUGCUGUUGCUCCGGUUGCCCGCAGGCUCCCAGGGGGCAGCGGAGAAGGGGGUGCUGGGGAGGCUGGUCCAGUCGCCCGUGCCCGCCCCCCGGCCUGUGGUGGUGACCCCCGCCAGCUCGGUGCCUUUGCCGGCCCCGCGGCACCAGAAGUUGGGCUGGUCCAGGAGGAACGAGUCCGAGAACUGGCUGAAGCCGAUGAACAGCGCCGGGAUCCAGCAUGGAAACAGCCUCUUCUGUUUGAUGAGAAUCAUCCCAAAGUUGGCAUAUGAACCUUGAGUUUCAAGUAUGGAUGCUGAGCUCUUGACAAUGGGUUAAAGAUGCCAAUAUCAGCAAAAUUAUGAGCUAUGGCCUAGGCUCUGGUGUAAGAGGCCAGCAAGGCCAGGUGGUCCUCCAGCCCUGAGACACACGUACCCUACACAUCUGCGAAGGAGGGAUCAUUGCACCAUUCUGGAGAUGAGGCCUCUGAGCCCAAGCUAAGUCAUCAUAUCCCCUGUGACCUGCAUGUAUACAUCCAGAAGGCCUGAAGCAACUGAAGAACCACAAAAGAUGACAUUCCACCAUUGUGAUCUGUUCCUACCCACCCAUAACUGACCUUAUGGCAAUACAUCCUCCCCGCCCUUUCGAUAAUGUACUUUGUGAUAUUCCCCCGCCCUUAAGAAGGUACUUUCUAAUAUUCUCCCCACCCUUGAGAAUGUACUUUGUGAGAUCCACCCC